CCUACGGGCGACAGCAGUAGGGAAUCUUCCACAAUGGGCGAAAGCCUGAUGGAGCAACGCCGCGUGGGUGAAGAAGGUCUUCGGAUUGUAAAACCCUGUUGUUAGAGAAGAAAGUGCGUGAGAGUAACUGUUCACGUUUCGACGGUAUCUAACCAGAAAGCGAGGGCUAACCACGUGCCAGCAGCCGCGGUAAUACGUAGGUGGCAAGCGUUAUCCGGAUUUAGUGGGCGUAAAGGGAACGCAGGCGGGCUUUUAAGUCUGAUGUGAAAGCCUUCGGCUUAACCGGAGUAGUGCAUUGGAAACUGGGAGACUUGAGUGCAGAAGAGGUGAGUGGAAUUCCAAGUGUAGCGGUGAAAUGCGUAGAUAUAUGGAAGAACACCAGUGGCGAAGGCGGCUCACUGGUCUGUAACUGACGCUGAGGUUCGAAAGCGUGGGUAGCAAACAGGAUUAGAUACCCCAGUAGUC
rnacentral:rRNA from 1 species